rnacentral:tRNA from 1 species
AAAUAAGAAGCAAAUUUAUAUGCAUUUAAUUUCGACUUAAAAGAAGAGUAAAUAACUCCUUAUUUA